rnacentral:tRNA from 2 species
AUUGCUUUGGUGUAAUUGAGCGCAGCUAAUUUCCAAUUAGAUGGUUUGUAAGCAAUA